rnacentral:tRNA from 1 species
GCCUCUGUAGCUCAGUUGGUUACAGCACUGCACUGGAAUCACAGGGCCACAGGUUUGAUUCCUGCCAGAGGAC